AUGGGGGGAUUCAUCGUCAGCGGCUCUGGCCUCCCGUCUGCGCGUGAUGCCCCGACCACGGACCUUCGCGGUUCCGCGGCGAGGGCACGCCGUCUUCGGCGAAUGUCUAGAGUCGUAGUCGUGCACUUCUCCCCUAGUAGAACGUCGCGACCCGUUGAGUGUCGGUCUACGGCCCGGGUGGGCGCCUGCCUCGUCGUCUCGUACGCACGCGGCAGACCCUCGGUUGCCCGGCCGGCUGCUCGGCGGUACUCGCACGGUAUCGGGCCGCAACCAAUCCAUCUCGAAUGUGUUUGCGUCGGGCCCGCCGCAAGCUGGGUCAGAAACUCGGAGGUCGGACUUAGCGCCGUCCCCGGGACUGGCCAGCUGUUGGUUGGCGGUGUCCUCGGACUGGCCAAGCUUCGAAUUACCGGUCGGCGACGCUACUGCUUUGGGUACUCUCAGGACCCGUCUUGAAACACGGACCAAGGAGUCUAACAUGUGUGCGAGUCAUUGGGAUGGAAAAACCUAAAGGCGAAAUGAAAGUGAAGGUCGGCCUCCGCGUCGACCGAGGGAGGAUGGGCCGCGUUACGAUGCGGCUCCGCACUCCCGGGGCGUCUCGUUCUCAUUGCGAGAAGAGGCGCACCCAGAGCAUACACGUUGGGACCCGAAAGAUGGUGAACUAUGCCUGGUCAGGACGAAGUCAGGGGAAACCCUGAUGGAGGUCCGUAGCGAUUCUGACGUGCAAAUCGAUCGUCGGAACUGGGUAUAGGGGCGAAAGACUAAUCGAACCAUCUAGUAGCUGGUUCCCUCCGAAGUUUCCCUCAGGAUAGCUGGCACUCGCUCGAUCGAGUCUCAUCUGGUAAAGCGAAUGAUUAGAGGCCUUGGGGCCGAAACGACCUCA
rnacentral:rRNA from 1 species